rnacentral:rRNA from 1 species
UACGAAGGGUGCAAGCGUUACUCGGAAUUACUGGGCGUAAAGCGUGCGUAGGUGGUUUGUUAAGUCUGUUGUGAAAGUCCAGGGCUCAACCCUGGGAUGCCGGUGGAUACUGUCGGGCUCGAGUCCGGAAGAGGCGAGUGGAAUUCCUGGUGUAGCGGUGAAAUGCGCAGAUAUCAGGAGGAACACCAAUGGCGAAGGCAGCACUCUGGGCCGGUACUGACGCUGAGGAGCGAAAGCAUGGGGAGCGAACAGG